AUGCUUUCUCGUCGAUGGAGGAAAUGCUACUCCCAAAACAGGGAAAGCAUGUCACAGUAAGAGGGUUCAGAACAGCCUUCUCCACAACACUUUGUUUUAUGUGCAGGGAAGUUCAGUGUGGAGGAUAUUUAAAAAGGCAUAAAAUAAUGAUGUCUGUGUUAUUUAACUCUUCUUUAUAAGAUGGAGCAGUCUGUUUUGCAUGACUACACUUUUAACUCCAUGCACUGAAAGGCAUUUUCACAGGGCUACCAUAUGCUUAUUUUACUUAUCAGAAAUGCUCUAUGGAAGCUCUAAGACACAGACAUUUUAUGACUCUUUGACUGAAGGAUACUCAAAUCUUGUAAAAAAUACAUUUAUAAUUAUUUUGAGCAAGGGAAAGGAGGACUUUCAAAAUUCAAACCAGUGGCUGUACAGAAUGUCUGUUUUAGGCAAAACUUUGGCUAAAUCCUAAAGGUAACUAAACUACAUAUGUGAUUACUAUUGUGCCCUAGACACCACACUAGGGUGUUGAUAUUUAACCCUAACUGUUGAACAACUUUGUACCUGAACUUAGCAUUUCUGUAUUUGCCAGCCUGCACCACAGAGUUGAUUACAAAGAGCACCCUUAUCUUGAAAAAGGACCAGUUGGUUAUAAACUUUCAUCCCUGCAGCUGCACAGUAUUAACAAAGCUCUGGAGCAACAAUGCAUUUCCAAGCAAAAUAACCGGAGGAACUUGGCUCCCACCCACUCCUCUAUCGGGAAACUGCAGCUCCCAGGAGCCUUUGCGGUAAACAGUAGAUGACGAAAAUGUGACGUAACUUCCUGCUCGGAACGUAAGAUGGCGACUGCUGCGAGGCAACGUGUGAGCGAUGUAGUGCUUGGCGCACAUUUAGGAUACACGGUGAUUCCAGUCAAAUUUUCUGAAAAGCAUCAGUCACCUCAUUACCUGUAUGUGAAGGAGCACAAAGUCAGAGAGGACACAGAUCCUAACAGGCCUCAAAACCGCACUCUUUUUGUCUUGAAUGUUCCACCAUAUUGUACAGAGGAAUGUUUGUCAAGACUGUUCUCCGGCUUCUGCUCUGUACAGUCUGUGGAGAUGUGUGAAAAGCCAAGGCUGGGCGAAAAAAGAGAAGCACCCAAGUCCAAGUUCUUCCAUUCUAAGAGACCUUUGGGCUUCCAGGUUGCUUAUGUUGUGUUCAAGAGUCCUGCUGGGGUAAAGGCUGCCCAGUCCUUAUCAACACAAGAGCCCCUUGUGAUCUCUUCAGACAGACAUCCCCUCCAAACUGGCAUUCAUAAAUGGAUUGCCAGGUAUGCAGCUUCAAUUGUGGAUCCUGCUGAGCUGAAGGCAGAAGUGGAUGCCUUCAUGCAAGCCUAUGACCAAAAGGUUGCAAAGGAAGAAGCCAAGGCUGAGGAAGAAGAUGGUGUCCCAGAUGAGGAGGGAUGGGUGAAAGUGACAAGGAAAGGUCGAAGGCCUGGAAUCCCAUGGACAGAAGCAGCCAACUUGCGAGCACUGGAGAAGGAGAAACGCAAGAGAGCAUGCAAGGAAUUGCUUAACUUCUAUGCAUGGCAGCAUCGUGAGACUAAGAGAGAACACAUAGCUCAGCUGAGGAAGAAAUUUGAAGAAGACAAGCAGAAAAUUGCACUAAUGCGUGCACAGCGAAAGUUUCGGCCCUACUGAGUUCUAGAAUCUGCAGUUCCCAGAAGAGCAGAACUGCUGUAGGAAGUGCACAGACAGAGAUUUUCAUGGGACAUUGAGGAAACCAGCCUUGAUGUCUCCUUUUCCCACUGACAUAUCUCCUGUGCUGUAAGAAAUGAAAUGCUGUAAAGCUAAGAAACAAUCACCGUUUGCUAAGACUAUACAGCUGCCACAGGAAGCUCUGCAACGUCUCCUUUUCCAAAGCUGAAGAGGGAAGAAAGGCAACAUACUGGUGGAAGGCAUGGGAGGGAGAAGGAAAGACAUGGAUUCACAAGACACAGAAGUUUCUUCAUCACCUGCCCCUGCCUACUGGAAGGUAGAAAAGCUACAUGUAUUGUAGGGUUUUUACUGGAAGAAUGACACAGAGAUUGGUAACAUUCAGUAAGUAAUCUAGUAAAAUUCCUGUGUCCAAAAGCCAAAACAGUUUCUUGAAAACAUGGCAAGGCCUUGUGGCCUUCAGCUUGUUAGGAAAUGCACUGCAGAUCAUUGCCUUGAAACUGCCUUCUCCAAUCCUGAUGGAUUCUGCAAUGCUAGGGAGAACUUUAUAAAAUCCAUGAAGUCUUGUGCCUAGUAAAGCAGGCACUGUCUUUUGUUCUUGGCCAGGGGAGAGGAAUGAUGCAACAUUUGCCUAGGCAACCCUUGGAGACCCACAGAGCAUCCCUCAGUCUACUGAGAGAAUCAGCAGGCCACAGAAAAGGGGCAUGUUAAGUUUUCUUUAGUGUGCAUCUCUAUUUCACCAUAGUACUCAGUAAACUGUCCAUUUUCUUUGACAGCUGGUUUCAUUUCUUAAGUAUUCUUGAAUCCAAUGUGUAUCGGCUGGACCAAGCCCCCACAAUUAAAACAAAGGCCUAUCUAGCUAAAAACAAAAGUGGAUGCACAGGACACCAUACAAAAAGCCUCUUUCCUCCUCCUGCCCUGCUGGAUUCUUGCUGGCAGGGCUGUGGAUAGGCAGAGGACUCUAAGCACGGGGUAUAACCAUUUCCAACCACUUCCACGGCUUUUGAUGUUUAGCCUAGAACUUCCACUUGCUAUUCCUUGUGAGAAAGGAUCAUAGAAGGUAAAAAUAAAUUAUUUUGUCUUAUUUAAUAACUUUAGAGACAAAGUAUUUGUUUUGAUUACUUUCAAAAGCUGUUUUACAGCAGUGGACAGACAUACUAAACUCCUUUACACACCUCAUCCCCCCACCCCCACUGAACCUUCCUUGUACCUAACAAACCGAUUUUCCAAUGCAUGAAGUUCAGGCUGAACUUACUAGUUCUGCUUCUGGGUAAUUCUGGCUUUACUAGGUGCAAGACUUCAGUUGCAACUCUCACUAAACCCCUUUCUCUAUGUAUUCACAGAUACCUUCAAAUAAAAGACUGGAAGCUGCCUUACAGUUGGCCUGUGUUGCCCACUACUGUCAAUAGGCUGGUUUGCAUAAUUGUGCUGGUCAAACACAAUCAAAUUUUACCCCUGCAGUCAAGAUGCUUCUAUGAAUUAAAUGAAUGUAAAAUGCAAAA